CCUACGGGAGGCAGCAGUAGGGAAUCUUCCACAAUGGGCGAAAGCCUGAUGGAGCAACGCCGCGUGGGUGAAGAAGGUCUUCGGAUCGUAAAACCCUGUUGUUAGAGAAGCAAGUGCGUGAGAGUAACUGUUCACGUUUCGACGGUAUCUAACCAGAAAGCCACGGCUAACUACGUGCCCGCAGCCGCGGUAAUACGUAGGUGGCAAGCGUUAUCCGGAUUUAUUGGGCGUAAAGGGAACGCAGGCGGUCUUUUAAGUCUGAUGUGAAAGCCUUCGGCUUAACCGGAGUAGUGCAUUGGAAACUGGGAGACUUGAGUGCAGAAGAGGAGAGUGGAACGCCAUGUGUAGCGGUGAAAUGCGUAGAUAUAUGGAAGAACCCCAGUGGCGAAAGCGGCUCUCUGGUCUGUAACUGACGCUGAGGUUCGAAAGCGUGGGUAGCAAACAGGAUUAGAUACCCGUGUAGUC
rnacentral:rRNA from 1 species